rnacentral:tRNA from 1 species
UAGUUUUAUUGGGCUGCUAACUUAAUUUUAGCAAAGUAUUGUUAACUAAC